rnacentral:piRNA from 1 species
UCAGCUUCUUCUCCAGUCUUUCUG